AAAAAGAGUUGUGACGAUAUGGCUGCGACCGAGAAGGAAUCAUCAAGUACACCUAAUGAGCUGUCUGUAUCAUUUGAUGGCGGGUGGCAGAAAAGAGGAUCAGGUAGAUCCUAUUCCAGUUUGUCAGGUCAUGCUGCAAUGAUCGGAAAUGAAACGGG